AGUGAACGCUGGCGGUAGGCCUAACACAUGCAAGUCGAACGGCAGCACAGGAGAGCCUGCUCUCUGGGUGGCGAGUGGCGGACGGGUGAGGAAUACAUCGGAAUCUACUCUGUCGUGAGGGAUAACGUAGGGAAACUUACGCUAAUACCGCAUACGACCUACGGGUGAAAGCAGGGGACCUUCGGGCCUUGCGCGAUUGAAUGAGCCGAUGUAGGAUUAGCUAGUUGGCGGGGUAAAGGCCCACCAAGGCGACGAUCCGGAGCUGGUCUGAGAGGAUGAUCAGCCACACUGGAACUGAGACACGGUCCAGACUCCUACGGGAGGCAGCAGUGGGGAAUAUUGGACAAUGGGCGCAAGCCUGAUCCAGCCAUACCGCGUGGGUGAAGAAGGCCUUCGGGUUGUAAAGCCCUUUUGUUGGGAAAGAAAUCCAGCUGGCUAAUACCCGGUUGGGAUGACGGUACCCAAAGAAUAAGCACCGGCUAACUUCGUGCCAGCCGCCGCCGUAA
rnacentral:rRNA from 1 species